rnacentral:rRNA from 1 species
UACGUAGGGUGCGAGCGUUAAUCGGAAUUACUGGGCGUAAAGCGUGCGCAGGCGGUGAUGUAAGACAGGUGUGAAAUCCCCGGGCUUAACCUGGGAACUGCAUUUGUGACUGCAUAGCUGGAGUGCGGCAGAGGGGGAUGGAAUUCCGCGUGUAGCAGUGAAAUGCGUAGAUAUGCGGAGGAACACCGAUGGCGAAGGCAAUCCCCUGGGCCUGCACUGACGCUCAUGCACGAAAGCGUGGGGAGCAAACAGG